rnacentral:rRNA from 1 species
UGGGGAAUAUUGGACAAUGGGGGCAACCCUGAUCCAGCGAUGCCGCGUGAGUGAAGAAGGCCUUCGGGUCGUAAAGCUCUUUAGGUUGGGAAGAAGUUUACGUGGGGACAAUCCAUGUAGAUUGACGGUACCGACAGAAUAAGCACCGGCAAACUCUGUGCCAGCAGCCGCGGUAAUACAGAGGGUGCGAGCGUUAAUCGGAGUUACUGGGCGUAAAGGGCGCGUAGGCGGUGAGAUGUGUGUGAUGUGAAAGCCCCGGGCUUAACCUGGGAAGUGCAUCGCAAACUAUCUGACUGGAGUAGAUGAGAGGGUGGCGGAAUUUCCGGUGUAGCGGUGAAAUGCGUAGAGAUCGGAAGGAACGUCAAUGGCGAAGGCAGCCACCUGGCAUCAUACUGACGCUGAGGCGCGAAAGCGUGGGGAGCGAACA